GCCGGGACGCCGGGUCGCUCCAGCCCGGGCGGCCUGGGUCUGUUGGCCGCGAGCGGGGCAAGGCUCGGCCUCCUGGCUUGCCGCUCCCGCCGCCGAGGCCGGCGCGCCUGGCGUCCAGCCUCCCGAAGACGGAGCGGCGGCUCCGGCGGCCGCAGCUCGAAUUCUGCCCGCGGACGCCUGGGACGGUGGGGACAGGCUCGGGGCGGGCCCCGGCGUAGCGUGGCGGACCUCUGGGCCAUGGGGACGGGUGCGGGCAAAGCGUCGAGAGUUCCAGGGGCUUGCGGCUCCACCAAGGAUGGAGUCGAGCGGCGGGCACGGGGGCGGCAAGGAACGGCAGCGCCUUUCUGGAGGGUGACGGCGGCUCGCCGCGGGUUUCUGGGAUUAGAGGCCCAGAUUCCUUCCAUUCCAAAUGUGUAUGCUGCAUGUUGAGGAAGCCUGGGAAAACACUCUGAAGAUAUGCUCCCUGCUGCCCCCAGCAGCACCUGGCACAGGCAGGAGCUCGGCGACGGGGCAUCAGCACGACAGACCAGUGCCACUGUGACCAGCCACGGGAAUUCAAGCCAGCCGAGGCAGACGGAGAGCGGGCACUCCCGGGACCCCUAAAAGCCGGGUCCCCCGGGGGACCGUCUCGACAGAGCCCCUCCACUAGUGUGACUCAGCACCCAGCACCUUCCAGGUCCCGUGUCUAUCCUGGACGCACCAGCUGUGCCCGGGAAGGUUGAGGGACAAGCACAUGGUUCCUGGGGCUGGCCAGGGGCUCCCCGGGAAACAGGCUGGAUGUCCCCUGCACAGGUCACUGUUGGGGCGGACACGGUGUCCAGCUCCCGCAUCGCCACUGCACUUCCUAGCAGCCCUGCGGUGAGGAAAGCGACUCGCUCGCUGUCAAGCCCACUGCAGUGGCCGGCUGGGGUGGCGUGUCAGGCCCCGGGGGCGCUUGUCCUCCUCAGCUGGUGGACUGCAGGUGCCCCCGCCUGAGGGCCUCACCAGAGCCCAGCGUCUGCACUGCCCAGAGCCACGCCUCCCUCCCCUUCCUCCUCCCUGCCAGUUGAUUUUCUGAACUGGAGUCAAAUUCUGCCUGGAAAAUCAACUCUUGAAUAAAACGUGUGUGUCACUUCAGAAGUUGUUUUAGUUUUCCAGAGGACUGCCAAAGCAAAGUGCCAAAACGCAUUGGCUUUCGUAACAGGAGUUUUAUUUGGGGUAAAAGCUUACAGUUUCGAGACUGUGAGAAGUCCAAAUCGACAGCAUCAGAGAUGCUUUCUCAGCACCGUCAGCUCCUGGUGAUCCCGGGUCCUGCCCCAGGUGAAGCGUGCAGGUGCUGCUGGCUGCUGAGGUCCUGCCCCCACCC
rnacentral:lncRNA from 1 species